CCUACGGGGGGCAGCAGUGGGGAAUAUUGCACAAUGGGGGGAACCCUGAUGCAGCGACGCCGCGUGGGUGAAGGAGUAUUUCGGUAUGUAAAGCCCUAUCAGCAGGGAAGAACAAUGACGGUAUCCGAAGAAAAAGCAUCGGCUAACUCCGUGCCAGCAGCCGCGGUAAUACGGAGGAUGCGAGCGUUAUCCGGAUUUAUUGGGUUUAAAGGGUGCGUAGGCGGUCCGUUAAGUCAGCGGUAAAAUUGCGGGGCUCAACCCCGUCGAGCCGUUGAAACUGGCAGACUUGAGUUGGCGAGAAGUAC
rnacentral:rRNA from 1 species